GGGAAGAAAUCCUUUGGGCUAAUACCCUAGGGGGAUGACGGUACCUGAAGAAUAAGCACCGGCUAACUACGUGCCAGCAGCCGCGGUAAUACGUAGGGUGCAAGCGUUAAUCGGAAUUACUGGGCGUAAAGCGUGCGCAGGCGGUUGUGUAAGACAGAUGUGAAAUCCCCGGGCUUAACCUGGGAACUGCAUUUGUGACUGCACGACUAGAGUGCGUCAGAGGGGGGUGGAAUUCCACGUGUAGCAGUGAAAUGCGUAAAUAUAGUGGAGGAACACCAAUGGCGAAGGCAGCCCCCUGGGAUGACACUGACGCUCAUGCACGAAAGCGUGGGGAGCAAACAGGAUUAGAUACCCUGGUAGUCCACGCCCUAAACGAUGUCAACUAGUUGUUGGGGAUUUACUUCCUUGGUAACGUAGCUAACGCGUGAAGUUGACCGCCUGGGGAGUACGGCCGCAA
rnacentral:rRNA from 1 species